UACAGAGGGUGCAAGCGUUGUUCGGAAUUAUUGGGCGUAAAGCGCGUGUAGGCGGCUUUGCAAGUCGGGUGUGAAAGCCCUCGGCUCAACCGAGGAAGUGCGCCCGAAACUGCAGAGCUUGAGUACCGGAGAGGAUGGCGGAAAUUCCCCCAAGUAGAGGUGAAAUUCGUAGAUAUGGGGAGGAACACCGGUGGCGAAGGCGGCCAUCUGGACGGAUACUGACGCUGAGGAGCGAAAAGCCAGGGGGAGCAAACGGGG
rnacentral:rRNA from 1 species